rnacentral:rRNA from 1 species
UGUGGUAGCAUAAUCACUAGGUUUUUAAUUGGAAUUUUGUAUGAAUGAUUGAUCAAGAGAAAAACUGUCUUUAUAUUAAAGUUUGAAUUUAACUUUUAAGUGAAAAGGCUUAAUAUAUUCUAAAGGGACGAUAAGACCCUAUAAAACUUUACCUUACUUGUUAAUAUUUUAUUUAAUUUUGUCGCCCUACGAUUUAAAUUUAAUUUUUUGUUAUGUUGGGGAGACAAAAUCUAUAAUUUAUAUUAACUGCUUGAAGAGAAAUCAAUAAAUUAUUGACCCCAUUGUUAUAGAUCCCCUCUACACAUUAAAAGAUUAACCUACUUUAGGGAUAACAGCCCUUUUUUUUUUGAGAGUUCAUUUCUAAAAAAAACAUUUCAACCUC